UAAUACGAAGGGGGCUAGCGUUGUUCGGAAUUACUGGGCGUAAAGCGCACGUAGGCUGCUUGUUAAGUCAGGGGUGAAAUCCCGAGGCUCAACCUCGGAACUGCCUUUGAUACUGACGAGCUCGAGUUCGGAAGAGGUUAGUGGAAUUCCCAGUGUAGAGGUGAAAUUCGUAGAUAUUGGGAAGAACACCAGUGGCGAAGGCGGCUAACUGGUCCGAUACUGACGCUGAGGUGCGAAAGCGUGGGGAGCAAACAGG
rnacentral:rRNA from 1 species